rnacentral:rRNA from 1 species
GUGAGGAAUAUUGGUCAAUGGGCGGGAGCCUGAACCAGCCAAGUCGCGUGAAGGAAGAAGGAUCUAUGGUUCGUAAACUUCUUUUGCAGGGGAAUAAAGUGCAGGACGUGUCCUGUUUUGUAUGUACCCUGAGAAUAAGGAUCGGCUAACUCCGUGCCAGCAGCCGCGGUAAUACGGAGGAUCCGAGCGUUAUCCGGAUUUAUUGGGUUUAAAGGGUGCGUUGGUGGUUUGAUAAGUCAGCGGUGAAAGUUUGCAGCUUAACUGUAAAAAUGCCGUUGAAACUGUCGGACUUGAGUGUAAAUGAGGUAGGCGGAAUGCGUGGUGUAGCGGUGAAAUGCAUAGAUAUCACGCAGAACUCCGAUUGCGAAGGCAGCUUACUAAGCUACAACUGACACUGAAGCACGAAAGCGUGGGGAUCAAACAGGAUUAGAUACCCGAGUAGUCC